rnacentral:rRNA from 1 species
GAUUAACGCUGGCGGCGUGCAUAACACAUGCAAGUCGAACGAUGAAACUUUUUUGAAUUCUUCGGAAUGAUAAAAGGUGGAUUAGUGGCGGACGGGUGAGCAACGCGUGAGUAACCUGCCUUAGAGAAGGGGAUAGCCUUUGGAAACGAAGAAUAAUACCCUAUGAUAUGACAAUCUCGCAUGGGAAUGUCAUCAAAGAUUUAUCACUCUAAGAUGGACUUGCGUCUGAUUAGUUAGUUGGUGAGGUAACGGCCCACCAAGACAGCGAUCAGUAGCCGGCUUGAGAGAGUGUACGGCCACAUUGGGGACUGAGACACGGCCCAGACUCCUACGGGAGCAGCAGUGGGGAAUUCUGCACAAUGGGGGAAACCCUGAUGCAGCGACGCCGCGUGA